ACGCUCGACACCUACGGGAGGGCAGCAGUGGGGAAUAUUGCACAAUGGAGGAAACUCUGAUGCAGCGAUGCCGCGUGAGGGAAGAAGGUUUUCGGAUUGUAAACCUCUGUCUUUGGGGACGAUAAUGACGGUACCCAAGGAGGAAGCUCCGGCUAACUACGUGCUAGCAGCCGCGGUAAUCUGAGCGGGCUGGCAAGGC
rnacentral:rRNA from 1 species